GGGGGUAGAGCUCAGUGGUAGAGUACCUGCUUAGCAUGCACGAGGACCUGUGUUCUAUUCCAAGUACCUCCA
rnacentral:tRNA from 1 species